rnacentral:rRNA from 1 species
CCUACGGGUGGCAGCAGUGAGGAAUAUUGGUCAAUGGACGCAAGUCUGAACCAGCCAUGUCGCGUGCAGGAAGAAGGUGCUAUGCAUUGUAAACUGCUUUUAUACGGGGGUAAUGUCAGAUACGUGUAUCUGGAUGAAAGUACCGUAUGAAUAAGGAUCGGCUAACUCCGUGCCAGCAGCCGCGGUAAUACGGAGGAUCCGAGCGUUAUCCGGAUUUAUUGGGUUUAAAGGGUGCGUAGGCGGGUAGGUAAGUUAGUUGUGAAAGUUCGAGGCUCAACAUCAAAAUUGCAGCUGAUACUGGCUGACUAGAGUAUAGUAGAGGAAGGCGGAAUGUGUGGUGUAGCGGUGAAAUGCUUAGAUAUCACACAGAACACCGAUUGCGAAGGCAGCUUUC